CUGCCGUUGGAGGGAAAACAAGACACGGUUAACCCUCGGUGAUUCCAGGUGGCAGCAGAGACUGGAGGAGGAGGAUGUUGGAUCUCCUGGAGAUGGAAUUGUAGACAGUUGCUUGUGAGCCACCUGAUGUGAGUUCUGGGAACCCAGCCCAGGUCUUCUGGAAGAGCCACAAAUGCUUCCAACAGCCAAGCCGUCCCUCCAGCCUCCCAACCCUCUUUUCUCCUAAUGCUCUGUUUGGGCAUUUCUGUCUUACUGUUUUUUUUUUUUGCUUGUAUAUUAUGGUUUCUGAUAUUGUGUUUGUGUAUGUUUUGGGUGUGUGCAUUUCUUGUAUUUUCUCUUUUUAAGAAAUUCUAGUUUGUUUUUGUUUGCCUGUCU
rnacentral:lncRNA from 1 species